GUAGUAGGUUGGUGCAAAAGUAAUUGCAGUUUUUGCCAUUUCUUUUUAAUGGCAAAAACCAAUUACUUUUCACCAACCUAAUAU
rnacentral:miRNA from 1 species